UCAAAUUUGUUUGGGCUUUUAUUAAAACCCAUAAAAACACAGAAGCUCUCUCAUCGGACUCUCCGCCCGAUACUCUCCGCCUCAGUUUUUUGUUUGUACAUCCACCGGAAGUAAAUAUCUACUAGAGUUACGGAAUCAUUGAGAAAUCCAAUCGCCGACUUUAACGCAGGCAUUAAGACCAUUACUCCCUUGCUCAGGAUCUCCUACUAUAAAAGACGACAAGGAGAGUAAAUGGCGGCGGGUGAUGUGGUGGCAAAGUGGAUUAUAGAGAGGCGGAGAUACAAAGGUGGUGAUGAUCGAUUUAUGAUGAGGUGGAGGAUUGGGUUUGAGAAGAGUAGAUGUCGAUGAAGCUGAAUUCAUUGUCGGGACUUGGGGAAAGUUACGAACCUAACAGCAAUAAAUACAACUAGAUUCGCAAUCAACGGUCGCCGUAAUCAGAUAGCCAGAUAGGAAGUCCAGUGAUUUCUGCCAGAGCUUUCAUCAUAAAAAUAGGAGAAGUAGCUUGGAGGAAAGAAAGGAAGAUGAAAUAGAGGGAGAAGAGAUUGAAACAGAGCAUCAGUAAGUGGAAGAAUCAAGAAUUUAGAACAAAGUUGUGAUUAUUAUUAGUCUUUGUAUCGGAUCUUUGUGGAAUAAGUUAGUAAUAGAGCUCUUGGUAUGCAUCAAUGGCGAGUUAGGCGAUGGUGCGAGCUCCUCUCCAAGGUUUUACCGUUUUUUUUCUGAGUAAAAACAACUCAAAAGUCAAAACAAAUAAAAAGUUUAUUUGAUCA